rnacentral:lncRNA from 1 species
AUGACGCUGCUGAACUCUGGUGAACGACGGUUACGUGGUUUUUGCCACAAUGAAGGAGGUCCCCACGUGGUCUUUGCCUGUGCUGAACACUGGGAUAAGAGGGACGGGACAGGACCCCUGGACCCAGCAGUGAAAACUGCACCCUGUGCAGCUCACUGUCCCCAACAGUCCCCAAUGAUGACCACUGUGCCUGGUGCAGCUCACUGUCCCCAACAGUCCCCAAUGAUGACCACUGUGCCCAGUGCAGCUCACUGUCCCCAACAGUCCCCAAUGAUGACCACUGUGCCCAGUGCAGCUCACUGUCCCCAACAGUCCCCAACGAUGUCCACUGUGCCCCACACAGCUCACUGUCCCCAACAGUCCCCAAUGAUGACCACUGUGCCUGGUGCAGCUCACUGUCCCCAACAGUCUCCAACAAUGUCCACUGUGCCCCACACAGCUCACUGUCCCCAACAGUCCCCAACGAUGACCACUGUGCCCCACACAGCUCACUGUCCCCAACAGUCCCCAACAAUGUCCACUGUGCCCGGUGCAGCUCACUGUCCCCAACAGUCCCCAAUGAUGACCACUGUGCCUGGUGCAGCUCACUGUCCCCAACAGUCCCCAACGAUGACCACUGUGCCCGGCGCAGCUCACUGUCCCCAACAGUCCCCAACGAUGACCACUGUGCCCGGUGCAGCUCACUGUCCCCAACAGUCCCCAACAAUGUCCACUGUGCCCGACGCAGCUCACUGUCCCCAACAGUCCCCAAUGAUGACCACUGUGCCCCACACAGCUCACUGUCCCCAACAGUCCCCAACGAUGUCCACUGUGCCCCACACAGCUCACUUGUCCCCAACAGUUCCCCAAUUGAAUGACCACUGUGUCCUGUGCAGCUCACUGUCCCCAACAGUCUCCAACAAUGUCCACUGUGCCCCACACAGCUCACUGUCCCCAACAGUCCCCAACGAUGACCACUGUGCCCCACACAGCUCACUGUCCCCAACAGUCCCCAGCGAUGACCACUGUGCCCGGUGCAGCUCACUGUCCCCAACAGUCCCCAACGAUGACCACUGUGCCCCACACAGCUCACUGUCCCCAACAGUCCCCAGCGAUGACCACUGUGCCCGGUGCAGCUCACUGUCCCCAACAGUCCCCAGCGAUGACCACUGUGCCCCACACAGCUCACUGUCCCCAACAGUCCCCAAUGAUGCCCACUGUGCCCCACACAGCUCACUGUCGCCAGUGCCAGCCCGUGUCCUCAGCCCUCGCGAGAGCCGCCUCGACACCUCCCGCGCAGACCGCAGCUCUGGCAAUGCCCGACUUUGGCCUUCGCUGAGCCCAGCAGCUGUGUCCUCCCUGCCCACAGCCCAGUGCCCGAAGCUUUGUGGACCUCCUGCCUUCCUGGUGGUCUUCAGAUGCAAAGGGGGGGGGUCGUCACCCAGUGCCACCUCUGCAGUUACUUUCUUAAUCAACUUCCACCUUUAG